AAAGAAUUAGUUAAAUUAUAACAUUAAUUUGUCAAAUUAAAAUUAUUUAUAUAAAUAUUCUUUU
rnacentral:tRNA from 1 species